rnacentral:piRNA from 1 species
UGCACCCAUAGAUCCACUGCUCAUGUGCAGAU